rnacentral:rRNA from 1 species
AUCAACGUCCAUACCACCCUGAAAGCGCCCGAUCUCGUCUGAUCUCGGAAGCUAAGCAGGGACGGGCAUGGUUAGUACCUGGAUGGGAGACUGCCUGGGAAUACCAGGUGUUGUAGGCU